GAUGAACGCUGACAGAAUGCUUAACACAUGCAAGUCCACUUGAACUUCGGUUCGGGUGGCGGACGGGUGAGUAACGCGUAAAGAACUUGCCUCACAGCUAGGGACAACAUUUGGAAACGAAUGCUAAUACCUGAUAUUAUGAUUUUAGGGCAUCCUAGAAUUAUGAAAGCUAUAUGCGCUGUGAGAGAGCUUUGCGUCCCAUUAGCUAGUUGGAGAGGUAACGGCUCAACAAGGCGAUGAUGGGUAGCCGGCCUGAGGGGGUGAACGGCCACAAGGGGACUGAGACACGGCCCUUACUCCUACGAGAGACAGCAGUGGAGAAUAUUGGACAAUGGGCCAAGAGGCUGAACCAGCAAUUCGGUGUGGACGAUGAAGUUUUUCGGAAUGUAAAGUGCUUUCAGUUGGGAAGAAAAAAAUGACGGUACCAACAGAGGAAGUGACGGCUAAAUACGU
rnacentral:rRNA from 1 species